rnacentral:rRNA from 1 species
CACGUAGGGGACGAGCGUUGUCCGGAUUCAUUGGGCGUAAAGCGCGCGUAGGCGGCUCGGAAAGUCGGUCGUGAAAUGCCGGGGCUCAACCCCGGGACUGCGUCCGAUACUUCCGGGCUGGAGGUAGGUAGGGGAGAUCGGAAUUCCUGGUGUAGCGGUGAAAUGCGCAGAUAUCAGGAGGAACACCAAUAGCGAAGGCAGCUCGCUGGGACGUUACUGACACUGAGGCGCGAAAGCGUGGGGAGCGAACAGG